GAAGUGGAAGGAAUAAGAGCGGGAAGAAAAAGGCAGAAAAAGAUGAAGAUGAUGAUCAAUGGAAUAUUAUCUCAAGAUAUUUUUCAGCAACACUUAGCUGGCUCAGUCGCACGAACUCCACUCUAGAGUGGAAGGAACAAAAAACACGUUAGAUUAUUCAUGUGGUUUUUAUAAGAAAAGCAGUGAAAUGUGUACCUGAUGUUCACAUUGUGUUGGAGCUGAGGGGCUUCCAGACAAAUGUCUGACAGUAGAAGAGAGUCUGUGUGUGUAAUGGAGGAUUAACGAAACCAUUACAAGGAUACUGAAAAAUGCAUAAAAAGUGGACUACUCACUCCACACUUGAGAGAGGUCGGCAGGUCUCUGCACCGGUAUGUUGGCACCGUGCAGGGGUCUGGGGGGGAGAAACACACGUUUUGCUUUAAAAUGUGUCAACUGCGAGGUUAUACUUUGUGGUCUUAUGGAAACAAAAUACGUUUGUGGACUGACCUGCUUUUAAAAAGGCGCUACUCCGAUGCGAGGGUGUGGACCCACCGAUGAGGGGACCCUCCUGACUCUGGCACUGGCGCAUGAGGGCGCAGAUGGCCUGCGGGGUGGCGUAGCUCAGGAUGGCGUCCAUCACCGUCUUGCCGAACCUGCCGAUGACCAUCUCGCACUGACCGCGGUGUCACGUGGGGGUCGUAUAUUUAUGCGGGGUCGUUCUCCCGGGAUGCAGACGGACAACUCUGGACAAAGCGUGAAGUAGGGAAGAAAACAUCGCUUACCACCAGCGCUGUGUCCUGUGUGUCUUGAAAGGCAUCACCAUUAAAGCCUUGGAGACCAGCAAGGAGAAACAAUGCAAAGGUGAUGGAGGUCAUCGUCUCGUCUCGUCUGGAAUCAACAGCUUCUGAAAUGGAAUCUGCGCGAGGCGUCACAAAAUGCAGCUUUUAUGUCACACCGCAAGUGCCUUACCCACCAGGUUUUAAGAUGCAUCAUUGCUGAUUGCCUCUACUCACGUGCCCACCACCACAAGUAUGUUGUUUAGUGUGUGGGAAACACUGCUUUGGCCUUGGUGCAAGUCUGUAUUUUACCAUUUCUAUGUGGCCAUUCUAAUAAUGGCUGCCUCAAGCCUUUGCACCGUAGUGUAGAUUCUGUGUGUGUUGUUUCCUCACAUUGCAUUAAGGUGAGAUCAUUUCUCUCAAUCUGCACUUUUAGAUGUCACGUGUGUAAAUUUGAGGAGGGAACUACAAGGCAGGACAGGGUGUUUGCCCAGCAUGUUCACACCAUAUUUGCAGUGGGAUGUUGAAAGAUCAGGUUCAUCCAUAGGGCUUAUUAUACUGUAUAUAGAAGGAUUAAA